UCCCAGGUUGGCUAUGAACUCUCCACUUUGGAGAACUAGUGCACACCGCAGUCCACAUUAACCCCUGCAUCAUAUAUACUGGGUAAUGACAUGAAGAAUUUGGAGACUUUCUGCUUUAUCCAUGGCUACUCCUGUGCCUCUGAACACUGGGGUGAUGAACCAAUGAUUCAGGAACACAGACUAAUAUAACACUACAAUGACCACCUGGGGAUUUCAGCUAGGAAAAUGUGUUUUACAAUUUCCUUUACCUUCCUACAAAGGGAAUGUUCCAACAUGGGAAGCAGUGCACACAGCAACUCAUAGAAUGACAAUCACUUUAAAUAGCACUCUGACCUCAGAAUCAGCCCUUAAAGCAUUCUGGUCUGGCUGAAAAGCCCAUGAGAGCAUGUCAGGCAUGGAAAGCCAAGACAUUGUGGCAAAAAAAAUGUCCAACACGAAGGAUCUCUGUGAGUGAGAACCCAGUGGAAAGAAGUGGCCAUUACAGAAGGAUAUACUUUUCUCUCAAGGGAGUUUCGUCAUGAACAGAAAACUCCUCUAAAAGUGAAGUUUAUUGUACUGGAAGAAAUCAUGGUGGAAAUGCUUCAGGACACUGGAAUAGGCAACAAUUAAAAAAAAAUAAGUCCCCAAAUAAACAGGAAACAAAAGCAAAAAUAGACAAAUGGAAUUGCAAUCAAACUAAAAAGUUCCUUCCCUGCAAAAGAAAUAACAAAAUGAAGGGACAACCAACAGACUGGGAGAGAGUAUGUGCAAGUGAUGCAUUCGAAAAAGGACUAAUAUCCAGAAUAUACAAGGAACUCAACUCAGCAGAAAAAAAUCUCCAAUUAUCUGAUUUUAAAUGGGCAGUAGACUCAGGUAGACAUUUCUCAAAAGUAUACACACAAAUGAUCAAAAGGUAUAUGAAAAAGUCAUCACUAAUCAUUAGGGAAAUUCAAGUUAAAACCAAAAUGGCAUAUCAUCUCAUGCCAGUAAGGAUGACUAUUAUUAAAAAGAUAAUGAUAACUAGUGCUGGUGAGGAUGGGGAGAAAACAGAACCCUUGCACACUAGUUGGAACUCUUGUGUAGCCAUUGUGGAAAACAGUAUGAAGUUUACUCAAAAUAUUAAACAUAGAACUACCAUAUGAUCCAGCCAUUUCACUACUGGAUUUAUAUCCAAAAGGAAGGAAGUCAUUCUGUUUAAGAGACAUCUGCACUCCCAUGCUUGUUGCAGAACUAAUCACAAAAGUAAAGAAAUGCAAACAAUCUAAGUGCCCAAGCACUGAAUGAAUGGAUAAAGAAAUUUAGGUAAUAAUACAUAAUGAAAUACUAUUCAGUCAUGAAAAAGAUGAAGUCCUGUCAUUUGCAACACUGUCAAAGGAACUGACAUCAUUAUGGUAGCUGAACUAAGCGAGGUGCAGAAAUACAAUUAAUUACCAUAUGAUCUAAUUCAAAUGUGGAAUCUAAUAAAGUUGAUUUCAGGGACAACAUUGUGUUGCAGUGGGCUAAGCUUCUCCCUCUGUUGCUGGCAUCUCACAUGAGCACCAGUUCAAGUCCCAGCUUUACUUACAAUUCAGCCCCCCACUAGGGCACCUGGGAAUGCAAUGGAAGAUGGCCCAAGAAUUUGGACCUCUGCCACCAAGUGGGAGACCCAGAUGGAUUUCCAGGUUCCUGGCUUUGGCCUGGUCCAGACCCAGGUGUUGCAACCAUUUGGGGAGUGAACCAACAGAAGGAAGAUUUCUUUCUC